GUUUCAUUACAUAUGGACAAUUAUAGUGGACAAAAUAAGAAAAGUAUUGUAAUAAGCUAUGGAAUGUGGCUUGUUAUGAUGGGUCUACAUGAUGACUUGGAGUACAACCUGAUUGAGGCCCGGCAUACAUAAUUCAGCCUUGAACAUGUUUAGAAUGUCUUCUGCAUGACCUAGUAUAGUAUUCUUGAAGGAUUAUAACUUCAACACAGAGACGGAGAUUAAUAUUUUUAGGCAGGGGGUUGGCAUGACAAGCAAAUUCACCAACCGUAUUACCACUCCUGAGUUAGAUGCCAUUCGACAGUGGUACCUGUAUAAUGAAAUAGUGCCCUUUUGCAGCAACAGCAAUGUAUGCUCAAAACCAGCAGUGUCAGAGCCAUUAAAAUUGAGAACUCAAGUCAUUUAAAACGAAGAAUGAA
rnacentral:lncRNA from 1 species